rnacentral:rRNA from 1 species
GGACCCGCACAAGUAGUGGAGCAUGUGGUUUAAUUCGAUGAUACGCGAGGAACCUUACCAGGGCUUAAAUGUAAGUUGCAUUAGUUAGAGAUAGCUAUUUCUUCGGACAAUUUACAAGGUGCUGCAUGGUUGUCGUCAGCUCGUGCCGUGAGGUGUCAGGUUAAGUCCUAUAACGAGCGCAACCCCUACCGUUAGUUGCCAGCGAGUCAUGUCGGGGACUCUAGCGGAACUGCCGGCGUAAGCCGCGAGGAAGGUGGGGAUGACGUCAAAUCAUCACGGCCCUUACGUCCUGGGCUACACACGUGCUACAAUGGUACGGACAAUGAGCAGCCACAUGGUGACAUGGAGCUAAUCUUCAAACCGUAUCUCAGUUCGGAUCGAAGUCUGCAACUCGACUUCGUGAAGCUGGAAUCGCUAGUAAUCGC